rnacentral:rRNA from 1 species
UACGAAGGGGGCUAGCGUUGUUCGGAAUUACUGGGCGUAAAGCGAACGUAGGCGGUGUUCCAUGUCAGAGGUGAAGCCUGGGGCUCAACUCCAGAAUUGCCUUUGAAACGGGGACGCUUGAGUCCGAGAGAGGAUGGCGGAAUUCCUAGUGUAGAGGUGAAAUUCGUAGAUAUUAGGAAGAACACCGGUGGCGAAGGCGGCCAUCUGGCUCGGUACUGACGCUCAGGUUCGAAAGCGUGGGGAGCAAACAGG